rnacentral:rRNA from 1 species
GACGAACCGUGCGAACGUUAUUCGGAAUCACUGGGCUUAAAGCGCGUGUAGGCGGGAGGGAACGUCGGCCGCUGAAAUCCCCCGGCUUAACCGGGGAAGUGGCGCCGAUACGGCCCUCCUGGAGGGACGUAGGGGGAGCUGGAACUUCCGGUGGAGCGGUGAAAUGCGUUGAGAUCGGAAGGAACGCCCGCGGCGAAAGCGAGCUCCUGGACGUCUGCUGACGCUGAGACGCGAAAGCCAGGGGGAGCGAACGGGG